rnacentral:rRNA from 1 species
GAUGAACGCUGACAGAAUGCUUAACACAUGCAAGUCAACUUGAAUUUGGGUUUUUAACUUAGGUUUGGGUGGCGGACGGGUGAGUAACGCGUAAAGAACUUGCCUCACAGCUAGGGACAACAUUUGGAAACGAAUGCUAAUACCUAAUAUUAUGAUAAUAGGGCAUCCUAUAAUUAUGAAAGCUAUAAGCGCUGUGAGAGAGCUUUGCGUCCCAUUAGCUAGUUGGAGAGGUAACGGCUCACCAAGGCGAUGAUGGGUAGCCGGCCUGAGAGGGUGAUCGGCCACAAGGGGACUGAGACACGGCCCUUACUCCUACGGGAGGAAGCAGUGGGGAAUAUUGGACAAUGGACCAAGAGUCUGAUCCAGCAAUUCUGUGUGCACGAUGAAGUUUUUCGGAAUGUAAAGUGCUUUCAGUUGGGAAGAAAGAAAUGACGGUACCAACAGAAGAAGUGACGGCUAAAUACGUG